rnacentral:rRNA from 1 species
GAUGGACGCUGGCGGCGUGCUUAACACAUGCAAGUCGAACGAUGAAGCCCAGCUUGCUGGGUGGAUUAGUGGCGAACGGGUGAGUAACACGUGAGUAACCUGCCCUUAACUCUGGGAUAAGCCUGGGAAACUGGGUCUAAUACCGGAUAGGAGCGCCUACCGCAUGGUGGGUGUUGGAAAGAUUUAUCGGUUUUGGAUGGACUCGCGGCCUAUCAGCUUGUUGGUGAGGUAAUGGCUCACCAAGGCGACGACGGGUAGCCGGCCUGAGAGGGUGACCGGCCACACUGGGACUGAGACACGGCCCAGACUCCUACGGGAGGCAGCAGUGGGGAAUAUUGCACAAUGGGCGAAAGCCUGAUGCAGCGACGCCGCGUGAGGGAUGACGGCCUUCGGGUCGUAAACCUCUUUCAGUAGGGAAGAAGCGAAAGUGACGGUACCUGCAGAAGAAGCACCGGCUAACUACGUG